rnacentral:rRNA from 1 species
GUGGGGAAUAUUGGGCAAUGGGGGAAACCCUGACCCAGCAACGCCGCGUGAAGGAAGACGGUUUUCGGAUUGUAAACUUCUUUUAUCGGGGACGAAAAAAAUGACGGUACCCGAAGAAAAAGCCACGGCUAACUACGUGCCAGCAGCCGCGGUAAUACGUAGGUGGCAAGCGUUGUCCGGAUUUACUGGGUGUAAAGGGCGUGUAGGCGGGAUUACAAGUCAGAUGUGAAAUACCAAGGCUUAACCUUGGGGCUGCAUUUGAAACUGUAGUUCUUGAGUGAUGGAGAGGCAGGCGGAAUUCCUAGUGUAGCGGUGAAAUGCGUAGAUAUUAGGAGGAACACCAGUGGCGAAGGCGGCCUGCUGGACAUUAACUGACGCUGAGGCGCGAAAGCGUGGGGAGCAAACAGGAUUAGAAACCCUGGUAGUCC